GGCCUAACACAUGCAAGUCGAGCGGUAACAGAAAGUAGCUUGCUACUUUGCUGACGAGCGGCGGACGGGUGAGUAAUGCUUGGGAACAUGCCUUGAGGUGGGGGACAACAGUUGGAAACGACUGCUAAUACCGCAUAAUGUCUACGGACCAAAGGGGGCUUCGGCUCUCGCCUUUAGAUUGGCCCAAGUGGGAUUAGCUAGUUGGUGAGGUAAUGGCUCACCAAGGCAACGAUCCCUAGCUGGUUUGAGAGGAUGAUCAGCCACACUGGAACUGAGACACGGUCCAGACUCCUACGGGAGGCAGCAGUGGGGAAUAUUGCACAAUGGGCGAAAGCCUGAUGCAGCCAUGCCGCGUGUGUGAAGAAGGCCUUCGGGUUGUAAAGCACUUUCAGUCAGGAGGAAAGGGUGUGAGUUAAUACCUCAUAUCUGUGACGUUACUGACAGAAGAAGCACCGGCUAACUCCGUGCCAGCAGCCGCGGUAAUACGGAGGGUGCGAGCGUUAAUCGGAAUUACUGGGCGUAAAGCGUACGCAGGCGGUUUGUUAAGCGAGAUGUGAAAGCCCCGGGCUCAACCUGGGAACUGCAUUUCGAACUGGCAAACUAGAGUGUGAUAGAGGGUGGUAGAAUUUCAGGUGUAGCGGUGAAAUGCGUAGAGAUCUGAAGGAAUACCGAUGGCGAAGGCAGCCACCUGGGUCAACACUGACGCUCAUGUACGAAAGCGUGGGGAGCAAACGGGAUUAGAUACCCCGGUAGUCCACGCCGUAAACGAUGUCUACUAGAAGCUCGGAACCUCGGUUCUGUUUUUCAAAGCUAACGCAUUAAGUAGACCGC
rnacentral:rRNA from 1 species